UUAGAGGAGUGAGCCACUGCACCCAGCCUUUUCUCUAGCUUUUAGUUUUGUCUCCAUUUUGUUGGAUUUGUUCUUUCAGUCUAUAAACAUGUACUGAACCCCUGUAUGCAACUCUAGGUUUAGGGCAUACUACCUGGCAGGGAACAGACAAGGCCCCUCCUCUCAUGGAGCUUAUAAUCAGGUGGGGAUGGGGGGAAGAAUGGCAGUGAUGAACUAAAAAAUAGCAGGAAGUGAGCACCUCUGUGAUGAAAACUAAAUGUGAGAGGUAAUGAUGGGGGAACUACCUUAAGAACGGUGGUUAGGAAAGAUAUCUUUGAGGAAGUAAUUUAUAAAUCAAGGCAUUCGUGACAGGAAAGAGAAAGAUGUGUGAUCAUCCAGGGGAGGAGCAUUUCAGAAAGAGGAAACAUAGAACAGCACUCCUAGAGUUAGAAGAACUCUAUAGGGCUCAAGAGCUUGCAGUGUGGUUGGGGCUUAUGGAGGCUGGAUGAAGAUAAGUAAGAGAGGUUCACAGGGACAGCCUCAUGUCAGGCCUUGAGGACAAGAAUAGGUCUCCAGACCCCCAGCUGGCCAUGUGGUGAGUUCAGGGCCCAAAUCAAGUAGUACAACAGCAAUUGGGGAACUCCCUCUAUCUGUUUUGAAUGGAUUCACACCAGCCCCACACCUGGAAAGAUGGUGUCACAGUCUACAGUCGGGCAGGAUUCUCCUGUGGACCCCUGGGAAGGGAUCAGCAAUCACCCUGACAUUAUUGAUGGUUCGCCCAGACUCCUGAACACUGACCAUCCUCCUUGCCAAUUAGACGUCAGGCUCAUGAGGCACAAAGCUUCCUGGAUCAGCCCCCAGGAUGUGCAGAAACAGCUGCAGGACUUGCAACCUCAGGUGCCAGCAGAGGGGAAAAGUGGGGCCCACUUUGUGAUGGACGCUGCCUCUCCCUCAGGCCCUUCACCUUUGUGCCUUGGGGACUCCCUGGCAGAGACAACAUUGUCAGAGGAUACUACGGACUCCACUGGCAGCACCUCUCCCCAUGGCUCGAGUGAAAAGAGGAGCAGCUUCUCUCUGUCCUCAACAGAAGGACAAGUGGUCCUCCCAGGACGCUCUGAUCAGGUGUCUCUGCUUACAAGCCCUAGGAUUUUGGACACCUCCCCAUAUCCUGAGAUUGACAGUGAUCUUUUUGAUCCUUCCCACUUGACAUCUUCUGCUGAUGAAGGUGCUGUUCAAGGCAGUAGAACCAUUUCUUUGAAUUCCUUCUCACCAGAGGUAUUUGUGCUGCCUGUCGAUGUAGAAAAGGAAAAUUCCCACUUUUAUGUUGCAGAUAUGAUUAUAUCAGCAAUGGAGAAAAUGAAGUGUAACAUUCUGAGUCAACAGCAGACAGAGAGCUGGAGUAAAGAAGAAGCACUUGGGUUACUUGGGAGUGAUCAGCCUGACUCUGAAGUGACUUUUGAUACCAACAUAAAGCAAGAAUCUGGGUCUUCCAUUUCUUCAUGCAGUGGCUAUGAAGGUUGUGCUGUGUUACAGGUCAGCCCAGUGACUGAAACACGUACUUAUCAUGAUGUGGCAAAAGAGAUUUGCAAAUGCGAUGUUGAUGAAUUUGUUGUUUUAGAGCUUGGAGAGUUUAAUGAUAUCACAGAAACCUGUAGCUGUUCCUGCAGCUUCUCUAAGAGUGUCACUUAUGAGCCAGACUUCAAUUCUGCUGAACUAUUAGCCAGAGAGCUGUACCGCGUAUUCCGGAAGUGCUGGAUACUGUCAGUAGUUAAUUCUCAGCUGGCAGGUUCCCUGACUGCAGCUGGCUCGAUAGUUGUAAAUGAAGAGCGUGUCCAAAAAGACUUUGAAUCCAGUAUGAAUAUAGUACAGGAAAUUAAAUUUAAGUCUAGGAUCAGAGGGACUGAAGACUGGGCUCCUCCUAGAUUUCAAAUCAUAUUUAAUAUUCAUCCACCACUCAAGAGGGACCUUGUGGUGGCAGCCCAGAAUUUUUUCUGUGCCGGCUGUGGAACUCCAAUAGAGCCUAAGUUUGUGAAACGGCUCCGGUACUGUGAAUACCUCGGGAAGUAUUUCUGUGACUGCUGCCACUCAUAUGCGGAGUCCUGCAUCCCUGCCCGGAUCCUGAUGUUGUGGGACUUCAGGAAGUACUACGUCAGCAAUUUCUCCAAACGGCUGCUCGACAGCAUAUGGCACCAGCCCAUUUUCAAUUUGCUGAGCAUCGGCCAAAGCCUGUAUACGAAAGCCAAGGAGCUGGACAGAGUGAAGGAAAUUCAGGAGCAGCUCUUCCAUAUCAAGAAGCUGUUGAAGACCUGCAGGUUUGCUGACAGUGCAUUAAAGGAGUUUGAACAGGUGCCGGGACACUUGGCUGAUGAGCUCCACCUGUUCUCUCUUGAGGACCUGGUCAGGAUCAAGAAAGGGCUUCUGGCGCCCUUGCUCAAGGACAUUCUGAAAGCUUGCCUCGCACACGUGGCCGGCUGUGAGCUGUGUCAAGGAAAGGGCUUUAUUUGUGAAUUUUGCCGGAAUACGACUGUCAUCUUCCCAUUUCAGACGGAAACAUGUAGAAGAUGUUCAGCAUUUCAGAUCAGUGGGUGAAGAUUGAGCAGACAACGGCUAAAGGUACAACUUCCCAGAAUUCUAGGAGGACCUGAAUUUUGGAACCACACAUCGCUUGCCAUACUGAGGUAAUUCUGAGGUGCAGCAAGUUUAUCUGUUUACUUAGAAGUUCCAGAGACUAAAACGUGAAGCAAAUCAGGCCCAUCUGGAACUCUCAGACACCAGGAGACUGCCUGAAUUUACAAGGUAGCUGCCUGCCGAGGCACCAGCCAGACUACCUGAUAGCAGGAAGAAGAACAGACAUAAAACAUAACAGGAAGCUGUGUUGCUCCAAAAAUAUCACAGGAUCGAAUGACACGAAAACCUUCACCAAACUUGGGACCAUGACACCAUUCACACUUGGAGGUGCUGAAAUGGAGGAAACAGCAAAUCAAGAGAUGUGAAAGCUGACCACAGAAUAAAGAAAGAUAUAUAACGUAAUAUAGAGAUUCCUUGGCUUGGGAGAAAGCAUGGAGCAAGAAGGAAAAGAAAGUGGGUUAAGACAUAAGUCUGUGGCCUGUUCGCUGGUCUCAGCCCAAGCAGUUGGUUGUUGAGUAGAAAUGAGGAAGAUGGAAGUGAAGAGGAGGCGAUCUCUCAAGAAUCUGAGAAUCCUUGAAUUUUCUAAGUAGGAAACCAACAGAGAAGAAACUCAAUAAAGCAAAAAUGGCAGCAUGACAUGGAAGAGACCCAGAAGUUAAUUUACAUCACAGACAAGGAUACAAAAGUUCUGGGAGGAAUGGAGGGUUGUUGUUGGAGUGUUCUGCUAUGUACAACCUCUUAUGAAAUGCAGCUAUUUGAAUUAUUAAUUUGUUAUAUUAUUUUUAUCGUUCUAGAAUUUUAUUUUACUCAUUUUUAAAAACAAAAAUACCAGUUCUGUGGUGAAAUUCUCCAAUGAUCUGUUUAUUUUCUUGGACAUAGUAAUCAUAGUCCUUUUUAAAUCCAUUUGAAACUCUAAUAUCUGAAUCAAAUAUAGGGCUAUUUCUAUUGCCUUUCUUUCUACUGUUUUUCAGAUAUUCUGUUUUUUUUAGAAUGCUUUGUAAUUUUUUAAUUUAAUGCUGGACUUUGAGUAUGAACUAUUUUAACAAGUCUGGAUAAUGCACUCUCUCUUGCUCUCUCUCUCUCUCUCUGGCUCUCUCGCUCUCUCAACAUGUGUUAGGUUUUCCUUGAUUAGGCAGAGAACACCAUUAUCAAAGAUUGAUUUGAGCUUUGUUAGGGCUUGGCUAUUUUGGUUUUGUCCUCUUUCCUAGAACAUCCUCUUUAUUCCUAAGGCAUGGAAUUUCAAUUCCAAUGUGUUUACAAAAGCCCCAACGCUUUGUCAGAGCUUGAACUCUACUAUCCACCCCUUGUGCAACCACAAAACUCUAUGAUCAAUUUCUUAUCUUCUCAGCUGAUGUUUUCUGCUGUGUUUCUUGGAGUCUUGUUCUACACAAGCACAGCUUAGAAAUCAGCUAGCACCCUUGAGGGAGUCUGUGUGCAGAUUUCUUUUCAGGAGAUUGUGAUAGAGUUUGGAUGUUGUCUUCUGUAAAUCUCAUGUUGAAAUGUAAUCCCCAAUGUUGGAUGUGGGUCCUGGAGGGAGGUGUUUGGGUCAUGCAGGCAGAUCUCUUAUGGCUUGGUGCUGUCCUUGUGAUAGUGAGUGUAAUUCUCAUUAGAUCUUGUUUAAAAGUACGUGGCAGGCCGGAUUUAGUGGCUCACACCUGUAAUCCCAGCACUUUUGGGAGGCCAAGAAGGGUGGAUCACUUGAUGUCAGGAGUUCGAGACCAAACUGGUCAACAUGGUG